rnacentral:lncRNA from 1 species
AUCGUAAACUAUGUUCCUGGAACGUGAACUUCAUUUUGUUUGCCUUUCAAGAUACAGAAGUAUUUGGUUCUGUUUAUUUUUGUUCCAGAUGGGCAGGGCCCUCUUGCCUGUUCUGACUAAUCCACUCGUCAGGGCUGGAAUCUCCUAACAGUUCCUUCCUCCAGGCAAUGAAGCUACUUAAGUCUGGAGUUUACCAAUUUCAUGGAAAAUUCUAAGCUCUUUGAAAUAAAAAUAAGGAGCUGAUCCAUUACUUGUGGAAAUACGGAUUCCUCUUGCCAUUACUCUUUAAGGAUAUGGACGCGCAACGGAGCAUGGGUGCUGACUACACUGCAAUACUAGGUGUGAGCCACGAGGAGUGCAUUGUUAAUAACUGACAGUGAGGAAGGGUUACCAUAAACUCCUCUGCCAUUCAGAAAGGCAUAUUCUGUAUUUGGGGCAUCACAGGAAAUCCGGAAGACAGCAAAGAAGUCAACCAACUCUGCAUAUAGUUAUCAGCAAACCCACUUGAUGAUGUGAACACAGAACAGCUCGCUUUUCAUUCGCUUGCUAAGGAGCUGUGCCCAAGAACUUGUCAGAGAGUGCGAGAACACUGCCCAGGGGCCCUGCCCGAGGGGGGAAAGCCUCAUUGGGUUUCAAGAGCUCACCUCCAGAAGUGUAGUUCAAAUCCUUCACAGUUCUCUUUGCAUUUUAGACAGGGGGCUCCAAAUCCUUGCUCAUGACCUAAGCCCAUCUGUUAAUGGGAAGAACAAAGGGAAUCUAUUAUAAAUUUUUUACAUUUUUAAAAAUUCAAUAAAUCACACCUCUAAUUCCA